AUACGGAGGGAUCAAGCGUUGUUCGGAAUUAUUGGGCGUAAAGCGCGCGUAGGCGGCUUGGUAAGUCGGAUGUGAAAGCCCGGGGCUCAACCCCGGAAUUGCACUCGAAACUGCCCGGCUAGAGUUUCGGAGAGGAGGGCGGAAUUCCCGGUGUAGAGGUGAAAUUCGUAGAUAUCGGGAGGAACACCAGUGGCGAAGGCGGCCCUCUGGACGAUGACUGACGCUGAGGUGCGAAAGCGUGGGGAGCAAACAGGAUUAGAAACCCGGGUAGUCC
rnacentral:rRNA from 1 species